rnacentral:rRNA from 1 species
AGUGAACGCUGGCGGUAGGCCUAACACAUGCAAGUCGAACGGCAGCACAGUAAGAGCUUGCUCUUACGGGUGGCGAGUGGCGGACGGGUGAGGAAUACAUCGGAAUCUACUUUUUCGUGGGGGAUAACGUAGGGAAACAUACGCUAAUACCGCAUACGACCUACGGGUGAAAGCAGGGGAUCUUCGGACCUUGCGCGAUUGAAUGAGCCGAUGUCGGAUUAGCUAGUUGGCGGGGUAAAGGCCCACCAAGGCGACGAUCCGUAGCUGGUCUGAGAGGAUGAUCAGCCACACUGGAACUGAGACACGGUCCAGACUCCUACGGGAGGCAGCAGUGGGGAAUAUUGGACAAUGGGCGCAAGCCUGAUCCAGCCAUACCGCGUGGGUGAAGAAGGCCUUCGGGUUGUAAAGCCCUUUUGUUGGGAAAGAAAAGCAGCAGGUUAAUACCCCGAUGUUCUGACGGUACCCAAAGAAUAAGCAACGGCUAACUUCGUG